rnacentral:lncRNA from 10 species
GGCCGGGAUGUCCCUGCACAGUCCCCAGCAGCAAGGCCUCCCUGAGAACAUGGCUUGCGAUGGGGCCUGAUUCCGUCUCCUUCUAGCCACAUCCCCAACUCCUGGGUUCAGCCAACUGGCAGGUGUUUCCUGGCUCAGGAAAUGCGAGAGAAAGAAGCCUGUCCCUGCCCACCUAGAACUCCCUUGUCAGCAUCGUCAUUUGUCUGUGCUCUCAUGGGGCCUCACAACAGAGUCUCAAGUUCCAGGCUGGGAAGCUUGCUUGGCAUCCUCCUAGCACACAGAGGAAGCCUCUAUUAAUUUGGGAACCUGAAGUUUAAACAAAAAAACGGGUGAGUUGGAGACUUUCUC